GUAAAUUGCUAAAUUAUGUAGUGUACCCCACAGUGAAGCCUACCCGUGGUGCAGAGUCAUUUUGGGAAAUCCCAAUUACACAAUCCACACCUGUGGGGGGUUAUUCAGGGGAAACGCCAAAGACACUGGAGCCAGCUCAUUGUGUCCUCUACAGAACCUUUGGUGUCUCGGUCUGUGGAAUUACGGUGAUGGCUCAUUUCCAGUUUUGGGCUGGUACAGUUUCCCCUACCAAAGUUCCUUCCCAAUGGUAACACCCCUACCUUUUCUGGGUGACUAUCCUCUACCUAUGGUUUUCCAAUCCUAUAUUCUGGGCCCUCAGUCUGAUGAUUAAAGUUCAACACAAUGAUAUAUAUCUUGUUCACACAUAUAGCUGGGCACUCUCCUGUGGUUUAUACACAUAUCGUCUGCUACUGCAAUCAGUGUGUAAAUAAUGCUUGUUUACUUUUUAUGUGUUUCAUUAGCACCGCUUUCUUUACCUGAUGUUCUUAUACCUUAAAACCCUUGUUCCAGUUCAUGAUUAUAUGGCUAUAC